rnacentral:rRNA from 1 species
GUGUCAGCAGCCGCGGUAAUACAGAGGGGGCAAGCGUUAUUCGGAAUUAUUGGGCGUAAAGGGCGCGUAGGCGGCCUGACAAGUGGAUGGUGAAAUCCCUCGGCUUAACCGAGGAACUGCCAUCCAGACUGUUUGGCUUGAGACCGGGAGAGGUGAGUGGAAUUCCCAGUGUAGCGGUGAAAUGCGUAGAUAUUGGGAGGAACACCAGUGGCGAAGGCGGCUCACUGGACCGGUACUGACGCUGAGGCGCGAAAGCGUGGGGAGCAAACGGGAUUAGAUACCCCCGUAGUCC